UUGAAUAUAAGUAAUUAAAAGAUCACUUUCAACAACGGAUCUCUUGGUUCUCGCAUCGAUGAAGAACGUAGCGAAGUGCGAUAAGUAGUGUGAAUUGCAGAAUUCCGUGGAUCAUCGAAUUUUUGAACGCAAAUUGCACUCUCUGGUAUUCCGGAGAG
rnacentral:rRNA from 1 species